UCUUGCUCCCCUCUCUCCCGAGACAAAAGGCAACCAACCAAAUACUCCAUCCGCCAUGUCCCCUGCAUAAUCUGACCACAAAAAUUGGUUGCUGUUCACCCCCUCUACCAAAUCCAUUCACUCGAUGGAACCCUUUUUGCUCAAAUCAAGAGAUCAAAGAUGGGGGCAGUGAGAGGGAGGCACAACGCGGUGGCUGGCGAGCAGCAACAUUGCGUAGAGGAAACGAUGAUGCUCUGACUGGAGGGACUGGCGGGCUGCAGAGUGCAAACUAGAGCAUCAAUGAGCUGCUCUGUUCGUGAUUCUUUUUUAUAGAUCUUUUGCUUUGAAUUUUUCUUUUUCUUUAAUCUUUGUUGCAUUGCAAGAGUGCAGCGGCGGCCGCUUCAAUCGGAGGCUGAUGCUCCAUGAACCAUGGGCGGCGGCGGAGCAUACACGGGCCCGGCAAGCGUCGCGGCGCGAGCAGCUCGGCAGCCUGGCUCACGGCGCGGGCGCCCUCUCUGAUUCUCCGCGUGCGGCGUAGCGGAUCGACUGGCGCCGGCGUCUGGAGAAGACGAUUCCUACAACGCGCGCCGAUCCGUCGGUUAGUUCUGGGAGCACGGGCCACGGCCGUCUGUCUCGUGAGACGACGGCUCGUCUCUCUCUCCAAUAACUAUGGCACACGUCGGGUCGGAUCAAGAGAUCUGCCUACUUUCAUGAAUUAGCUCGGUAGACCCAUAUGUCGUACUCUGUCAUUAUACGAUGGAAUCAGGGAAUGGGAGAUAGAGAUAAUACCCUUCAUUUAUUUUUAUAAGACGUACACGCAUAUCAAGAUUCAAAAUCUAUUAUCUUUGACCAACAUUUAACCAAUAAUUUUUUUAUUUUUAUGAUGUAAACUUGAAUUGGUUGGAUUUGUAAUCAAAUGUACUCUGCAAUGAUUAUAAGUUUAUAACUAUAAAUAAUAUAAUAUAAGAUAAUUUAAUGGUCA
rnacentral:lncRNA from 1 species